CCACAGACAGAUGAUUCUCCAGCCAUGCUGGCUGUAACCAGCCCCUGGGGUAUAAGAAUCAGGUCUAAUUCCACACGUGGUCCUAAGGAGGACACAGCCCCAGCCCCAGCUGAGCUCUGAGCUGACCUGGGACUGCAGCACCAAAGAGCUACGCCGAGGGACCACAAGUGCAGUGCAGUGAUGAGAGGGGGGCUUGCCCCGCCCCCCGGGAGAGAGCCCAGCUGUAACUGUCCCGUCUCCUGGCCCCAUUGGCUCUCUGGCUAUAACCCUGGCCCUCUCCAGGAGCUGGGAGCACACUCAGCAAGCAAGCAGGACCUGAUUGAAGACAAUGGCCCAAAUCCCAUUGAUUUAGAUGGGAACAAGCUGAGACCCGUGUUCCUUGCUCACCGAAACUGCCCUUCUCCACCUUCCCCUCCCCCAUCAGCUAGAGGUGCGGGAGUCCCCGGCCAUUCUCCAAGAUUUACACCGUCUCUGGCCUGCUUGUCACUUGCACUGAAGCCUGUUCAACACUCAUUGUUAACAACAGGCCAUGAUGGGGAAACUGAGGCACAGAGUGGCAACACGGCGAGUCAGCGGCAGAGCUGCUCAGAGGUGGAUGGACUACGCCGGUGGCUAAUGCUGGUGGAGCUGAACUGAUCUUCACAACAACAG